CUCGUCUAAACUCUGUGGGGGAAAUGGGACGAUCCAGAGCCUUCGGUUUCUUCUUCUGGCUGUUUGAAUCUUGUGGGGGUUUCCCUCUUCUCUCCCCUCCCCCUUGCCACCAGGGUCCCAUCAACAGGUAUCUUAGCAUGACAAUGGGGAAAGUUCCACAAAGGGAAAAGGGAAAGAACCAACCCCCAACACCUGGAUAUGGAACAAUACAGCCACCAGGCUCAGUCUUCACCCCAGUUAUACCAGUGCCAAAGUGCUGGAUCCAUCCCACUCACACGGUUUAACAGGAUGGGAAUUAAUAUUUUCAUCUCUAUUUUUCUUUUCAGUCCCUGGAGGAUAGUGGAUGACUGUGGAGGGGCCUUCACCAUGGGGGCCAUAGGAGGGGGCAUUUUCCAGGCUAUCAAAGGCUUCCGAAAUUCCCCAGUGGGUGUAAACCACCGUCUGCGGGGCAGUCUGACAGCCAUUAAAACCAGAGCUCCACAACUGGGAGGGAGCUUUGCUGUCUGGGGAGGUCUCUUCUCCAUGAUUGACUGUAGUAUGGUCAGAAUGAGAGGGAAGGAAGAUCCCUGGAAUUCCAUCACGAGCGGAGCCCUGACUGGAGCCAUUUUAGCUGCAAGAAAUGGCCCUGUUGCCAUGGUCGGAUCUGCCGCGAUGGGAGGAAUUCUCCUGGCCCUGAUUGAAGGAGCUGGAAUUCUCCUGACAAGAUUUGCCUCCACACAGUUCCCAAAUGUUCCUGAGGCUGUGGAAAGCCAAGGAGGACCUGCAGCUACAAGUGCUGAUGACACGAGAUUAUCACUAGCUGCUUUCCACUGGGAGACUGGAGGUGGCAUGGCUGAGAGCAGGGAUGUCCCUGCUGUCCCUGGCUUCUGCCAUGCACCUGGCACAUGGUGAUAGAAGGGUUUUACUCAGGGGUGGGACACAAUGGUUUGAGGAAAUGGCAGGCGGCAAGUCGUGGAAGAGAGGAGUGGUUCUGGCUGGCUGUGGUCUGCGUGGGGAACCCCGGGGUAAAUAAGAGGAUGUACACCUGGCAGGGACAGAUAUAUGAUUUCCAAAAAAGGUGGUGGUGAUUCUCUUCUAAACUGCUCUAAUAUCUGCAUCUCUUUUUAUUUUCCUAAGUAAAAUGCAAGCAGAGCUCUCGCUGAGUCAGAAACUGUUGCGUGAAUGCUUCCUGUGGAAAAUCCUAAAUACCCCUGUCACAGAAUCUGAGACUGGUAUGGGGUGGCAGGGACCUCAAAGCCCAUCUCAUUCUACCUCCUGCCCAUGGCAGGGACACCUUCCACUGUCCCAGGUUGCUCCAAGCCCCAUCCAACCUGGCCUUGGACACUUCCAGGGAUGGGGCAGCCACAGUUUCUCUUGGGCAGCCUGUGUGAGGGCCUCACCACUUUCACAGGGAAGAAUUCUGUCCCAGUAUUCCAUCUAACACUGCCCUCUGUCAGUUGGAAGCCAUUCCCCCUUUUCCUGUGACUCUUGGCCCCUCUCCCAGGUCUGUUUCCAGCUCUCUUGGUGCCCAUUUAUGCACUGGAAGGGGCUAUAAAGUUUCCACAGAGCCUUCUGCUCUCCAGGCUUAACUCUUCCAGCCUUUCCUCAUAGGAGAGGCUCCACCUGAUUUUGGGAAGAACACAAAUCAUUAAGAGUUAGAUGAGUAGCAGUCACUUAUUCCCAAGGGACUCCUCUCCUGGGUUUGUUCUCCAAUAUUCUUCAUCCAACCUAAACUAUGACAAUUUCUGUUCCUUAAAGAUGCUUGAAAAUUAAUCUGCCUUGGAGAAAGUGUAUCAUCUGUCCCUGACAAUUCUCUCUGGAUUGGCCCACCAUAGCUGUGUUGAUCCCUCCAGUAGCAGGCAGUGGAACAGGAAGCUGACUACACAUUUGUUCCAUUUCACUGGUUGCUUUAUUGUUGGGCAAGUCACCAUAGUUAAACCUUUCCAGAGGGGCCAAGGUCACCUCAAAGGCACUAUGUGCAAGUUUCCAGCUCUUUUAGAUGAUUGGAAAGGUUUCCCUCUCCCUGCUAUGGUCCAUUUCCCUGUUAGAAAACCUUGCCUAGUACAAGGUGUCCCUGCCCAUGGCAAAGGGUGGAGCAAGAUAAGCUUUAAGUUCCCUUCCAACCCACAUCACUCCACAAUUCCAUAAUUUUUUGAAACUUGGAGAGAAGUGGUUUGUCUUUGGAGCACCUUGCACAGCAUACUUUUCCUAUUAGAGCUGAAGAGGGGCUUUGGACAAGGUCCUGGAGCAACAGGAUAAGGGGGAAUGGCUUCUCACUGCUAGAAGGCAGGGUGAGAUGGGAUAUUAGGAAAAAAUUCUUCCCUUUGAGGAUGAUGAGGCCCUGGCCUGGGCUGCCCAGAGAAACUGUGGCUGCCUCAUUCCUGGCAGUGUCCAUGGCCAGGUUGGACAGGGCUUGGAGCAGCCUGGACUAGAGGAAGAUGUCUGUGCCCAUGGCAGGAGGUAGAAUUGGGCCCACAGAUGUCAGAGGAUCCAUCCCAGCUCCAGCCAUCCCCGUUCAGCGACUACAGACAGUACCAGUGAUGAUCCCCUGCAGCCUCCUCCUUCUUCUCCUCUUUCUCUUCCUCUUCCCUGUUCCUGAGUGGUCCCACCU